UUACGGCCAUAUCACGUUAAAACACCGAUUUUCGUACAAUCACGAAAGUUAAGCAACGUCGUGUCUAGUCAGUUCCUAGAUGGGUGACCGCUGGCGAAUACUAGGUGUUGUAAG
rnacentral:rRNA from 1 species